CUGAAAACAUAUUCAGAGUAACAGAUGUUAUUCGCCCAGACAUGUUUAAAUUUACGUCUGUAACUUUUUUUUAAAUUUUUAUUUUAUUGUCCCAAGCAGUCUGUAGGUGGAUCUUAAGGCCCAACCCUGAACACAUCCUUUAUAAGCAGCGCGUUAAAUCUGUCUAAACAGUACCGUCUUUUUCGUUUCAACAAUGAGCAGCGCUUCAAGGGCGUCUGCGAACAAUUUAGACACCCGAUCAAAUGACCCAAAGGAUGUUUUAAUUGUCCCAUUUAGUGCCCCCUCUACAGAUUAUGGUCUAAUGAUGACCCAACUGAUUCUUUAACUGGUGAGAUCUCGGAAGCCCAAUACACCCCGUCCCAAGUCGCAACUGCUACCGAGGAGAUUUUAAACAAUAUAGGUUAGGCUCUGAUCCGCAUAGACACUCGUAUACAAGAGUUCUCAUUAGAUGGCCGAUUGCGUUUGAUUAGGUAAUUGUCAUAUCUUGUCUUUUUUAAAAGGCUUGAAUGUCACGGCUCAAAAUACUGAAUACCUGAUGACCUCUGAAGAAGAGGAUGACUACAUAAAGACUCUUGAUUAUGAUAUGUUUCCCUUUGAUACUACCAUUUCUUAAUUAAACAAUAAGCCCUCUAUUCCUAAUAUACAAACAGUUAAGGCGCAAGUCCAUCAACCCCAAGAAGGUCAGGCAUAUGAUCGAGACAUCAAUGUAAAUAGGUUCUGUAAUCCUACUGCAUUCUACACUCCUGAAGGCAGCUUCCCCAUACCAGAAACCAGCGCUUUUGCCCCAAGGAAGAAACAGCGUCUGUUGGAAACGACAUCCCCCACUUCUGCUGAGAGGGUUGUGAACAACAAGAGGGGCAUUCACAGGAAGGAUGAUGUCAAGAGAUAUUUAAAGUAUUCAGAGGAAAUUAGUCCCCCCCCCAGAUGUCUACAUUAUCCACUCAAACAGUUCCUAUCUGUCUAUCACUUAACCCUUCUUAAAGUAUUGUUACAGCACGUUGGUGUUAACAUAGAACAAACCCUUGCGGUUUUGAGGGCUGCUGGUAUUUGAACUUUUUUUUUUUUUUUAAAUGGAUAAGUCAAAAAAGCAUACCUGUAAGAAAAGGCAUAGCGAAAUUGAUGUACCUGGAAUAAAUAAUCUUAAAAAGAUUCCUUCUAAUACUAGCCUGCUUGUUUCUGGUAAAUCCCCAGAGAUCUCACUUAAAGACUCUAAUGUAACAACUCCUGGACCAAUGCCUCAACCCUUCACAACCACACCUCUGCCUCUAAGCAAUAGUGAAAAUUUGGAUGCUCUAAAUAACCUGUUAAAUGAUUUAAAUCAUGUUGUUUGUAAUCUUGAGGUCCUAGAGGGCAUGGUGUCAGAUACGUGUAAAGCAUUGACAAACCCUGUUCAUGAUAGGCUGUCCCAGAAUCCUACUGAGGACCCUGAAAGGGUUACUAAUUUUGAUGUAAAGCAUCAGAUGAUUAGUCUUGAUAAGUCUUGCUCUGGAUAAUGCACUGCAUGUGCUGUCUACUGAAUCUAUUGAUGUUUCACAAAAUGGAGGUGCUUUAAUGGAUCGGCUGUCUCCUCCCCCUAGUGAUAGUGAUGAUGUUGUUGAACAUUUAAACAAUGUCCCUAGCAAUAAUGAUUCUGGUCAACCAGGACCCUCAGGGUUACAACACCCUAGAUUGCUUGUAAUCCCCAGUGAAGGGUUUAAUGACCCUGAAAGACCCAGUCCCUCAGGGUCUCAAGAGUCUACACAGCAAUCUGUUGAUGGGGAUGUAGAGGCGGUAGAUGAUCAAAAUAUUGAAAAUCCUCAAAAGGCGUUUUCAGCAUACUUCUCAGUAAUCAAAGAGCACUGCACGUUGUUGUGACACCUCUAUAACAUUCUCAAACACUGCAUAUACUAUCAUAUUCAUUGUGUUGGGGAGUGGCGCUGCAAGGCGCAUAUUUCCUGAUUUUACUAACGAAAAAUGAUCACCCGAUUCCUGGUCCGCAUAGGGUGUAUAACCCCUAGGAUAAUCAGUGCGAUCAAUAAUUAGAGGUUUGUCUUUGAGAUGUCUACCAGUGGCUUGAGUUAAAUUGUAAUAUUCAUGAACAGGGUUGUUUUCUACAGUAUAUGUAGGUUGAAAAGGUUUUGAGGGUAUUUGUUCCCCAUCAACAUACAAAGCUAUAAAGCAGGUAUUAAAAUGUUUAAAGUUAAAGGGAUUUUUAGUAUAUGACCCACUAAAGGAAUCAUUAUCUGUUAAUCCUAUAACCAAAUUGACAUUGGAACAUAUUUUCUUGAUUACAGACUCAACUACCCCGAGGUGUACUAUAAACCUUUACAGCAACUUUUUCAAUGGGAUACUUAGCAUUUGAAUUCAUCAGCGCUUGCGCAUGGCCUAUUUUCACCUCCGGGGAAACUUUAACUUUUUUGACAUAGAGAGACGCUUCUAAAAUUUUAAGUUUGUAAUGAUCUACUCCGCAACCAUUAGACAAAAUCUAUCACUUUUCCUAACCAUUUUAAUUUUAAUAUCAAUACCAUUUAACAUGAGUUUUUCUUGGGGAAAAAAAAUCUGCAUGUAGGGGUCCUAAAAGCUCAAAUAUAUGGCUUCUUCUAGUAAAAGCACGUCUUCUUUCUAAACCUGUAUUGGCCCCUGCAGGGUCUGUUACAUCCAUGUUUCCCGGAGCAUCUUUGAAAAACAAUCUGGCCGUAAAUUGAGACUCCAAUGUAUCUUUGCCAUAGUUUAGUAGGACCUCAAUAAGACUUCUGUAGGGAUAUGUAUUACUGCUUUGACUAAUCAGGCAGUCUCCUAAAGUUACAUUGAAUUGUGAAAACAUCGUCGCUACGGGAUAAUUAAUAACUCCCACCUGACUAGCAUUGUCUAUAUCCGAGCCAUUGUCCUUAGUAAUUUUACAUGAAAGCCUUAAAAGAGUAUUAUUCAAAUCAAGGUAAUCUUCACCAUUUCCUGCUAUAUAAAAGUCGAGGGGCGCUGUGUCAGAUAGAGCCAAUAGCGGAGGUAUUUCCAUAUAAAUGCUUUUAUCUAUACUUGUUUGUGUAUAGGGCACUGUAAAUAAGUCCAGUUCGGAUUUGACACAUUCCUGAGACGGUGAACAAGAGCCAUGAUUUAAAAGAUAUUUCUAGUUUUUUUCUCUGCGUCUUUGGUUUAUUACAGCUUUUUGAGAGGCUGUGAGCAAGUUCCCGGGGGAUCACGUCGUUUUCUCCUACGUCCUCUUGACAUAAACAUUAAGCCUGAUCCUGACUGGCUGGAGUCAUGGUUAUGAGGAUUGGGGGGUGUCAGAACAUUUGAAAUCACAUCUCUUGCAAUAUUUUUAGCGGCUGAUUUAAAAUGCGGUUUAGUUAUUUCAAAACCACGUCUAAGUAAAGGUAGUGCUUUUCUGAAAAGCCCCCUAAAAAUACCCCCAAUACCGGCCCCAUACAUUACAGGGGCCCCACUAAAUCCCAGCAGUCCAUUUCCGGCUUGAUUUUUGUAGUAGAUUAUAUAAGGAUUAAAUCCACCAUAAGGUCUCAUGACAUUCAUUUUUCUUAUGUAUAAAAAUGAUGUUUAACAGGUCGAAAAUGCAGCUUAACUACAACCUUCCCAAAGCGAAAUGGUACCAGAGUGUUUUGAUCUGUCUUAAUUUGUAUAGUUAUAGUAUCAAAACUGUACUUACUGAUAGGCACAUAAUGAGGUCUGUCACAAGUUAUUGUAACUAUAUUGGUCUUUGUUUCUUCAAUAGGGAUGCACCUUAGAAGAGAAACAUAGCUAUCUCCAACAGCCUGAUGCGAAAUGAUGUCAGUGUAUACAUAGAAGGUAUAAAACCCUACUCUGAUGUCUGCAGGGUAGAGAGCCUUCUUAUGGGGUCUUUGUAUUUCAGGGUCGUAAAAACCCAAGAUCUUUCCAAGUUGUCCGUCAGCAUGAAUCAAGCAUUUGUUAGUGCUGAUUAUGUAUACUUUCUUUCAACAUUAUUGUAUAUUAAUUCUAUAUCAACUUUCUGGACCCUCAAAACAGUGUUCACAGCCCCUGUUAAGCCAUUAACAGUCUCAUAAUAGCCAGCGGGAAUGGCCAAAUGGUGCAUAACUUGAGAAGUCAUGUUAUGAAUAUAAAAGGUGUUGUCUGAGGGUCCUAUGUUAUUUCAAGUAUGUUAUUCCAAGAAAUCUGCUUGACAGACCGGGUCAUCUGUAUAUACACAGCUGAGAGUGAAAAAUGGAGGCCUGUGUGUCUACAGAGAAUAAAACAAGGAGAUUUCUUUAUUUAUUUGUUUGUGUUACAGGUUGUACUGUCAGGUUCGGUACUGGUCAAAACAACCUAUUUAUUUAUUGUACCUACACUCCACAGAUAAUAAUUCAUACAACAAGGCUAUACACCUGUGCCUGAAACUGGGGAAGAUACUGUAUAUGAUGUGAUUGUUUUCUGAUAUAUAUGCACUAGAUAAA